rnacentral:tmRNA from 1 species
GGGCUUGACCGGUUUUGACGGCGGGUAGAGAUGGUAAGUAAGCAUGCAGUGCGUUGUGAGGAGGCACUAUAAUCUGAACUCUCGAAAAUUAUUUGGCGAAAACAGAUACGCUCUCGCUGCUUGAUUUGAAGAACAGUAGAAUCGCUUAAUUUCUGCCAAGAGGCGGAAACGAGACAUCGCUCGGAAGUCGCUUUCCUGAGACUAACCGGUACAGCGGUGCAGCAAAAUCGGGAAUAGCAACGUGAGGCUCCGCUCAUGUUGUGAAAUAACAGGAGAUAAGGCAUCGGUUGGUGGCUUUGGUCUUGCCGUUGCACGAAAAACGCAGUCAAAGAUAAGCAUGUAGAAAGCUUAUGGUUUCCUCGUUCGGACGAGGGUUCGACUCCCUCCAGGUCCACU